UACGUAGGGUGCAAGCGUUGUCCGGAAUUAUUGGGCGUAAAGAGCUCGUAGGCGGUUUGUCGCAUCUGCUGUGAAAACUGGAGGCUCAACCUCCAGCCUGCAGUGGGUACGGGCAGACUAGAGUGCGGUAGGGGAGAUUGGAAUUCCUGGUGUAGCGGUGGAAUGCGCAGAUAUCAGGAGGAACACCAAUGGCGAAGGCAGAUCUCUGGGCCGUAACUGACGCUGAGGAGCGAAAGCAUGGGGAGCGAACAGG
rnacentral:rRNA from 1 species